GAUUCAGCGGAGGAGUAAUCGACAAUGAUGACAAUUUGUCAUCUAAAAUAAAACUCCAUACAAGUUUGUGAAAAGAAGAGACGAAAAAUAAGCUGCAAGGAUAACAAUUGAAAGCUGCAGAAACCUGUUCUGAAUGUGUGCAAAUGAAGUGAA